UUUUUUUUUUUUUUUUUUUUUUUUUUUUUUCCUUGAGACGGGGUCUUGCUCUGUUACCCAGGUUGGAGAGCAGUGGUGCAAUCUCAGCUCACUCCAACCUCCGCCUCCGAGGCUCAAGUGAUCCUCCCACCUCAGUCUCUCGAGUAGCUGGGACUACAGGCUCAUGCCUCCAUACCCAGCUACCUUUUGUAUUUUUUGUAGACUUGGGGUCUGGCUAUGUUGUCCAGGCUGGUUUCAAACUCCUGGGCUUAAGCAAUCCACUGGUCUCAGCCUCCCAAAGUGCUGGGAUUACAGGUGUGAGCCACUGUGUGCCUGGCCUUAAUUUUUUAAUAUAAUCAAUUCUUACAUUUCAGAAAUAAGCCCACCUUGCAGGGAUGUACUCUAGUACUCUUUUCCUCUGCUACUUGAUGGCUAGUAUUUUGUCUAACUGAGGGCUCUGUUUUCUUUGUUGCGUAGCCUCCGUCAGGUGGGUAUGGCAAUAAUUUAGGCAUUCCAUGGUGACACACAACCUGAGUCUUCUCUUGUCUUUACAUGCUCCGGACACUUACAAUCUGCUACCUUUCGGUCGAAUUCUACAAAACUCACCGUGCUUGGUGCUUUGGCGGGGUCUUUGGCCAGCUUUUUGGCCAGCUUUUCUACUUAUUCUAUAGAAAUUCGUAUACAUAUAUUUUCUGUGACUACUUCUCAUGUUGUCUUACAGAGUAGUAGUUUUACUCUCAAUAGCCAUUUAUAAGAAAAGAGAUCACCAAUAGCCACUAUGUAUGGAGUGAUGCUUCUAUACAAACUUGCAUUUUAUCGGCUUAAUAGCAUCAUUGGAAGGAUUGGAAUAAAUGCUGUUGGCACCACAGCCACCCCAUCCUGGGCUCCUGAUCUUCUCCAGCUGCUCUGAGUGCCGGUCAGGGCAGCUCACGGCUGCAGCCACCUCCUGAGAACAGCCCUGGCCACCAGAAGCCUACACGCCUGGGAGCACCCACAGCUCAUAACUGGCACAUUGCACACCCUUGCCUCACACUCCUGAGCUUCCUGUUGGGUCAGCUGGACAUGGGACCUCAGCACAGCCUCCCCUCGCCUGGCGUCCCUGCUGCCCCAUCCUGUCUUCCUGACUUAAUAAGCCCCUGCCGGAGCAUCCCCGACCCAGCCUCUGCUGAAAGGCGGCCUGGCUUCGGACACAUUUUUACACAAAGCAUUGCUCGUUGAGUGCAGAGCAUUUUUGGCGUCCAUACAGCUUGGCGUGGCCUCACCCUGACCCCAGCAAUCAAGGAUCUCCGUGUGGGGAAUCAGAGUACUGAAAAAGGAGAAUGUUAGACACUUCUGUGCAGGGCUGACACAGCCCUAAAUGCCACUGGUUUGUACCUGGAGGGUGAUGCCCAUAAACCAAGGACUCGGUUUCUCUCCAUAGGUAUGAGUGGCCUCGACCUGCCUGUGGCCCCACCAUGGCAGCAGCAACCUCGCGCUGUCCCGUGACGCGGGUGUUAAGAAAAGCGUGUUUAUCCGAAUGCUGUUGGUGCUGUUUCUGUUUUCGACCUUUUUGCUCGCAGUCUUUAACUGCUACUGAGCUGUUUUCCACCGCACCACGCUGCCUGACGCCGCACUGUCCGCGUGGUGCCAGGGGAGAGAUGACGACGCCCGUCCUCUCCUUUCCCCCAUAUUAAAUCGGUCAGCCCCAAAUUCGGCCAUUCUUCAUUAAAAUCUUCCUCUUUCUCAUUUGUAAUGUGUGGUACCCGAGCACAUCUUCUGGCUUCUUGCUCUCCCCCAUCCUCUGUGUAAAUUUCCCAAAUCCUGUGGAUUUGGUCCUUCCUCUGCUCUC
rnacentral:lncRNA from 1 species